GACGUAGGGCGCGAGCGUUGUCCGGAUUUAUUGGGCGUAAAGAGCUCGUAGGCGGCUUGUCGCGUCGGAUGUGAAAGCCCGGGGCUUAACUCCGGGUCUGCAUUCGAUACGGGCAGGCUAGAGUGUGGUAGGGGAGACUGGAAUUCCUGGUGUAGCGGUGAAAUGCGCAGAUAUCAGGAGGAACACCGGUGGCGAAGGCGGGUCUCUGGGCCGAUACUGACGCUGAGGAGCGAAAGCGUGGGGAGCGAACAGG
rnacentral:rRNA from 1 species